rnacentral:rRNA from 1 species
AUUGAACGCUGGCGGCAGGCCUAACACAUGCAAGUCGAACGAGUGGCGGACGGGUGAGUAAUGUAUGGGGAACUGCCCGAUAGAGGGGGAUAACUACUGGAAACGGUGGCUAAUACCGCAUACUAUCGGAUGUGCCCAUAUGGGAUUAGCUAGUAGGUGGGGUAAAGGCUCACCCAGGCGACGAUCCCUAGCUGGUCUGAGAGGAUGACCAGCCACACUGGGACUGAGACACGGCCCAGACUCCUACGGGAGGCAGCAGUGGGGAAUAUUGCACAAUGGGCGAAAGCCUGAUGCAGCCAUGCCGCGUGUAUGAAGAAGGCCUUCGGGUUGUAAAGUACUUUCAGCGGGGAGGCGUUACCCGCAGAAGAAGCACCGGCUAACUCCGUGCCAGCAGCCGCGGUAAUUC